rnacentral:lncRNA from 1 species
GUGACGGUAUGACUUGGGAUUUUUCCCCCAAUAAUGAUGAUGAUGAUGAUGUUAAAUUUAUGUGACCAGAUAGAGGCUACCAUAUUUUUUUCUAAAUUACAUGGGCGCUCCAGCAAAGCACGUAACUCCAGAAACGGGAAAAAGGAAGCAUAGAGACUCCCAAAAGUAACCCCUAGCGUACAAUUUUGGCUAGCGGUGGACCCUGGCACGACUAGUCGUGUGGCUUCAGACCACCACAAAAUCUAGCGGUACCAACUGAAUCCAGCUGUAUCGAUGUAGACCAAGACGGUUUUUAAUCAAUGCAAUCAUCCCACGUGGCAAACACAAUCAAGAGAAUCCAACGACUUCUGCCAGUCGGCGUUUUAGACCAAACACCGAAGCCUGGCAUGAAACUCUCGUCCACUUUCACGUGGACCUUUCGGUUCGAGAUAGACCGGGCUCCCGUCCGAGUCCCCAGACCGGAGCCGAGCCGGAGGAAAUAAAAUAAUCGAGAAAUGUAAGAAAAAAAUAGUAGGGGAGAAAAGGCAAGGGAACUGACCGGAGACGCGAACGAGGGCCACCUGAAGCCGGGGCUCGGCAGAGAGGGCAAGGCGGCCGAUU